rfam:Pteropus vampyrus cont1.285283, whole genome shotgun sequence.
ACGAUGAAGUGAGAAAACAGCAGCUAGUUUAGGAGGUAAUAAAACUCAGGGAAGCGCCCAGAGCCUGCUUAUAUUCCUGCCGGAGAAUCCUGGCGUCCAGUUUGGAGGGUGGGCAGGGUUUGGAU